UCCAUUCUACUGCACCUCGUCUCUACCUUCAGCAGUUGAUGAGGAUGAGUCACCAGUAAGCUGAUCCCACACAGACUCUUGUCAACAUUUUCAGCAUUCUGGCUGUUAAAGUUCCCACAUUUGUGCAGAUAGUCUGGAGCUGCUGUCACUGGAGGGCGGAACCACUGAUUAUCACUUACACCUGCGGAUCCUCUCCUGCAAUCAUCCAGGGGAUAAAAGGAGUUGGCUGUCAGUUCUCCAGUGUCUAAGUGUUUGCCUGCAAUGGCUUCCUCCACCACCUCCUGGUUCAUCUACCAGAGUUUCCCUGAGCCUCCUCGAGAACCCAAGAUCUCCUGGAGCAGUUCUGAGACUGACAGCUUCAAGGUCUUUGUCCCCGGUCUGCACGGUAAUCUGUCCACCCUCCAUCGCUCCAACUAUCUGGCUGCGUUGCACUGCACUGACUUGUCUUUCAACCACCCACCCCCAACUUGUGGACGCUCCCUCACUACCCAAGUAAGAAGUUUUUUGGUUCCUCAUCAUUUCCUCAGUAUUUUUG